UACGGAGGGUGCAAGCGUUAUCCGGAAUCACUGGGUUUAAAGGGUGCGUAGGCGGUCUAGUAAGUCAGUCGUGAAAUCGCUGGGCUCAACCCAUGCAACUGCGAUUGAUACUGCUUGACUUGAAUAAGGUUGAGGUAGGCGGAAUGUGGCAUGUAGCGGUGAAAUGCUUAGAUAUGCCAUAGAACACCGAUUGCGAAGGCAGCUUGCUGGACCUUUAUUGACGCUGAGGCACGAAAGCGUGGGGAGCAAACAGGAUUAGAUACCCUGGUAGUCCACGCCCUAAACGAUGUUUACUUGCUGUUCGGCCUUCGGGCGGAGUGGCGAAGCGAAAGCGAUAAGUAAACCACCUGGGGAGUACGCCGGCAACGGUGAA
rnacentral:rRNA from 1 species